rnacentral:rRNA from 1 species
GACGAACGCUGGCGGCGUGCCUAAUACAUGCAAGUAGAACGCACAGUUUAUACCGUAGCUUGCUACACCAUAAACUGUGAGUUGCGAACGGGUGAGUAACGCGUAGGUAACCUGCCUGGUAGCGGGGGAUAACUAUUGGAAACGAUAGCUAAUACCGCAUAAUAUUGAUUAUUGCAUGAUAAUUGAUUGAAAGAUGCUAUUGCAUCACUACCAGAUGGACCUGCGUUGUAUUAGCUAGUAGGUGAGGUAACGGCUCACCUAGGCGACGAUACAUAGCCGACCUGAGAGGGUGAUCGGCCAAACUGGGACUGAGACACGGCCCAGACUCCUACGGGAGGCAGCAGUAGGGAAUCUUCGGCAAUGGACGAAAGUCUGACCGAGCAACGCCGCGUGAGUGAAGAAGGGUUUCGGAUCGUAAAGCUCUGUUGUAAGAGAAGAACGGGUGUGAGAGUGGAAAGUUCACACUGUGACGGUAUCUUACCAGAAAGGGACGGCUAACUACGUG